rnacentral:rRNA from 1 species
GACGAACGCUGGCGGCGUGCCUAAUACAUGCAAGUCGAGCGGACUGAUUAAGAGCUUGCUCUUAUGACGUUAGCGGCGGACGGGUGAGUAACACGUGGGCAACCUGCCCUGUAGAUCGGGAUAACACCGAGAAAUCGGUGCUAAUACCGGGUAAUAUCUGAGAUCACAUGAUCUUAGGUUAAAAGAUGGCUCCGGCUAUCACUACAGGAUGGGCCCGCGGCGCAUUAGCUAGUUGGUAAGGUAAUGGCUUAGCAAGGCGACGAUGCGUAGCCGACCUGAGAGGGUGAUCGGCCACACUGGGACUGAGACACGGCCCAGACUCCUACGGGAGGCAGCAGUAGGGAAUCUUCCGCAAUGGACGAAAGUCUGACGGAGCAACGCCGCGUGAGUGAUGAAGGGUUUCGGCUCGUAAAGCUCUGUUGUUAGGGAAGAAACAGUACCGAACGAACUAGGUCGGUACCUUGACGGUACCUAACCAGAAAGCCACGGCUAACUACGUG